rnacentral:rRNA from 1 species
GUGUCAGCCGCCGCGGUAAUACAGAGGUGGCAAGCGUUGUUCGGAAUUACUGGGCGUAAAGGGCGCGUAGGCGGCCUACUAAGUCAGACGUGAAAUCCCCCGGCUUAACCUGGGAACUGCGUCUGAUACUGGAAGGCUUGAGGAUGGGAGAGGGAUGUGGAAUUCCAGGUGUAGCGGUGAAAUGCGUAGAUAUCUGGAGGAAUACCGGUGGCGAAGGCGGCAUCCUGGACCAUUACUGACGCUGAGGCGCGAAAGCUAGGGGAGCAAACGGGAUUAGAUACCCCGGUAGUCCUAGCCGUAAACGAUGAACACUAGGCGUUGUCGGUAUCGACCCCGGCAGUGCCGAAGCUAACGCAUUAAGUGUUCCGCCUGGGGAGUACGGCCGCAAGGCUAAA